rnacentral:rRNA from 1 species
AUUGAACGCUGGCGGCAGGCCUAACACAUGCAAGUCGAACGAGUGGCGGACGGGUGAGUAAUGUCUGGGAAACUGCCUGAUGGAGGGGGAUAACUACUGGAAACGGUAGCUAAUACCGCAUACCAUCGGAUGUGCCCAGAUGGGAUUAGCUAGUAGGUGGGGUAACGGCUCACCGAGGCGACGCUCCCUAGCUGGUCUGAGAGGAUGACCAGCCACACUGGAACUGAGAGACGGUCCGGACUCCGACAGGAGGCAGCAGUGUGAAAUAUUGCACAAGGUGCGCAAGCCUGAUGCAGCCAUGCCGCGUGUAUGAAGAAGGCCUUCGGGUUGUAAAGAACUUUCAGCGUGGAGGCGUUACCCGCAGAAGAAGCACCGGCUAACUCAGUGCCAGCAGCCGCGGUAAUAC